UGAUGGGCGCAGCUGAUCCCUUCUCCCCCUGGCGUCAAUCUCCUGUGUGCCCCUCUUUCAUCCGCGUCUGCAACUGAACUGGAAAAUCAGAAAUUUGGAAACGACUCCAUGUUGGUGUGAAAUCUUAGAUCAUGUCUUUGUUUUGCUUUGUUUCAGCUAGGUGUUGUUGACGUUGUCUCAUUGUAAUAUUGCCACAAAAUCGGGCGAGAGGUCAUCGUCCACAAUGUACGAAAAACUGUCUGAUCUACUGACUUGCCAAGUGUCCUGGCCUCGUGGGAUGGUCAAAUUCAGAAUUUGCAUUUUGCUCGUAUAGUCGUAUUGAGUCAUACGCCCCACCCUGGAUAACCUGCACUAGUUGUGUGUUCAUGCGGUUGGUCACCCGGGGAGCAGCUGUGGCUGUGUGCAUGGCGAUGCAGAGGCCGGGGUACUCUCUUUUUGAAAAAACUGGCACGCUGCUGGGAGCCUGGGACUCGAGGUUUUUGGCUCUUUCUGGUGCAAGAUCUCGUCGAUCUAGGUUCCUGGUGGCCAUCAUGCGAGCACGGGGUGUCUUCUUAAUUGGGUUCUCCACGCGCGGGAUAAUCCUUGUCAUUGUUUUCUGGUCAGCUAUACUAAACCGUCGUAUCUCACGAAGGAUCAGUUGUUUUCUUAACGGAAGAAAGAUCAAUCGAUUUGACGCAGAGUUAGCAGCAACGGAGAGACGUUUUGGCAUGACAAGGUUCACAUAUGAGUAGACGCACUCGAGCCCGUGACGUCGACGUGCGGCCGGUGCCGUGAGACGCGAUGCUUUCCUUUCCGGUCGCCGUCGUGAGUACAAGGCGACGUCCGUUCGAUCGAAGCGACCUGAUUCCAUGCCGCCUGCGCGCAGCAAUGUCCAUGUUGCUCGGGCAGUGAGAAAGUGUUCACAAACAGUGACGACGCCGCGCGACCUAAUAAUUAGCCUACGCACGCGCACCUAGUGCUUUAGAGACAGUCGACCAGGUGUUUUCGAGAAAGCCGUUGUGUAUAUGCGUAUGUAUGAGUGUGUCUGCAUUCAUAUUGUAUUAAAAAAUGACAUACAACAUGUCACGACCAGUGUUGACGUGAAAUUUGAAGAGAAAAAAGAAAGAAGAACAACUACACGCUGACGUUGCGCGUUUGAGGCAGCAGUGCACGUCAUCAGACGUCCGUGACACCGGAACAUUUCACCGUGUCCCGACGCGGUUGCUGUACAGCGGCUCGAGCUGUGACUGCCCUGCCCCCGUACUACUGAAUCUUCAUUUGCAGGACCGACGUCUAAAUGAUUUUAUAUAGGUUAUAGCAGUAAGCCAGUAAUGAAUAUGUGUUUAGGAGCAUGAAUUCAAUAUUUAUUGGAGCUUCAUUUGCAGAUUCAAUAUUUAUUGGAGCUCCAUUUGCAGGAUCAACGCAAGAAUGAAUCAGAUAGCAAGAAAACGCAAGAAACAUUUGUUUAGGAACAAGAAAAACGCUGGAUUCUUUUGUUAUUAUAAUACCUAACUGUAAAAGUAAAAGGUACAAGCCCUGCUCGACCAAAAAUACAUCUGAUCUGAGCAUCCAAGCCCAGACGCACGCACGCACGCACACAAACACAAUGGGAAACAGCCAAACGUCCAGGCCGCAUCUCCCCCGUAGUAUAGGAUCGAUGAUGAUGAGAUGCGUCGUGAAGCCGCACAGCCGCGCGCGGCGAACGAGCCCCGCCUGCCUCUUCCCUAUCUUCCCUCGUUACGUAGCGGUAGCAGUUCUGUUUUCCAUGGCGGGACCAGGAGGGUCGAGUGGAGCCGGGCUUCAGGCCCGUGCGUAGGUCUGUCCGAGGUGCGCGGCGCGGAGGUCGGCGGGGUCGGCGCCGGCGGCGCGGUUGGCGGGGCGGUAGUGGCCGGUGACGGGGUCGGGCACCCACGAGGCGUCGGCCGCGGCCUUCUCGGCCUCCCUGGCCGCCUUCCCGUCCGCGGCCGCCGCGGCGCCGCGCCUCAUCGCCCCGGAGGAGGCCGCCGCCGCGUAGCCCCUGGCGGUGGCCGGGGCCAGCCGCUGGGCGAGCGCGCGGGCAGCAGCGGAGCCGGAGAGAGCGAGGGCCAUCGGAUCCGUCUGCGUUGGACGAUCGAACGGCUGGUUGGCUCUGGCUCUGUGCUGCUGCUACUGCUCCAACGUGGGCGUUUGAGGCUUGGUGGGCUUUGGUGGUGUGGGGGAACGAGAGAGGCCAGGGCCCGUAUAUAAAGGGAGACGGGGAGGGGCAGGCGCAGUAAAAAGGGCCCAACGGCACGGGGUUUUGUCAAAGAUUCGGUGGCUUUUGGGCGCCGUCACUCAGCGCGGCGAACCGGCACGUGCCGACGCGACGGACGCAGGAAAUGGCGCCGCGGGUUCGUCGCUUCCUUCCUACGUGGUCGACUUGAUUUUUUUUUGAGAGAGUCGACUUGAUAUUUUUGUUUACUCUUCUCGAGCUGAUGUUGCCGUGCCUCGCCCGGUCGACAUGAGCCAGCGAGAGCGACGCACGUUUAAUAAAAAGUUGGUGGCAAUUAGGACUUUUGAGAGGAGUAUAAGCCAGGUCGUGUUGGGUUCGUUGUCAACGGCGAAGUUGCCCUAGCUCUUCUCGGUUUGGUGCGCACUAAAAUUAAUUAAAAAUAUUAACGCCCACAUGUGUGACAUAUUUACACUUUACCCACACUCGUUGAUACACGUUGAUUUUAUUUUACAUGAAUCUUAAAAAAAUCUGUUAGAUUUUCAGUGCCAUGUGGGCAUCAUCGUGUGUGUAGGCGUUGGAGAGUUCAUCCACACGACCCGCAACACACGGUUGCCAACUGCGCCGUGUGGACGAACUAAUUUUUGGCCACACAGUCACCACCUGGUUCACGCAUGUGUGGAUGAACUGCUCUUCGCCCGCACGACACUCGUACAUUGUUCGAUGGCAACUGCAGUUGCACGUACGUGGCAACUAGGAUAACACACAUGGCAACUAUGAUUCGUUGCUAGGCGGCAGCUGCAGUUGUGCGUAUGUGGCAACUAGAGAGGUAAAUAAAGUAGCACAUGAACUGGCUAGAUUAGCUAGAUUUUUUUUCAGACUUCGGUUUGGUUUGAGGAGCCUUUUAGUGAAAUUGUAACACUUCUCACAAACGAUGUAUUGGUUAUUGCUAAUGAAUAAAAUUUCGUUUAUUUAAAAAAAGGUAAUCACGCAUUGCAACUACGAUAAAUCAUACGUGGCAACAAUGGUUGGACCACACGAGGCAACUAGUUAAUUACACAUGGCAACUAGUUAAUCACCCAUGGCAACUAUUAUUUGACCACGUAGGGUAAGUAGUUUAUCACACAUGGCAACUAUAGUUUGAACACGUGGCAACUAUCGUUACUUACACAUGGCAACUACAUUUGUCAUCCCAUGGAUGCGCCAGGACGUGUGGGCAGAUUUGCUUUAUGCCACACACGCGGGGUGAAGAUGAGUAGUAGUUCAUUAGGCGUGCGACACGAAGUAGCGGCGCCCACACGUAUGGGCAGCCCGAAUGUUCGCCCACACAUGAUCUGUGUGGGCUGCCUUCUGCUUACACCACACACGGCGUAUGGGCGGAUGUCUAAUAAAUCACGCGUGUGGGCGUUAUCAGCGUCCAAAUUAAUUUUUCAACUCGCAUGCAGCGGGUCGCCGUCGCAUGGAUGCAACGCUGCGGCACCUUGGUCUCCCUCGCGUGUGGGUGCAGCGCCGGCUCAUGGAGGUCGUCGCCGCGCGGGGCAUCACCAAUUCACCAUGGCUGUCGGGGUCGUCAUUGCGUGAGGGAGCGCUGCGGCGCCAGAGCAAUGAUCAGUGUCGGGUCAUGGUCUUGUUAGAGCGCUGCCACGGCCUACGAAUCGCCGUCACUAAGGGCAUGUAUAAUACAUAGCCUCAAGGUGAUGCCUCGCAUGCCAUGUAGAAUCGAAUAUGACGUAAAGUAGGUUCGGAUAGGGAAGCGGGAUCCUCUCCAGGAGGCGGAUGCUUGAAGUAAAAAAGUGUGGUCCGAUGACAAAGCUGAAAAGGCUGGAAUGAAAAGCAAAGAUGCAUGUGUACUAGAGUCUUUAUUUUCUAUUUAAUAAUGAGGUCCACUAAUGAUAGCUUACAUUGAAGAGAAAAAUUAAUGUAGAUACCUCAGAUUACUUUUUAUCAUAAAGCAUAUAUAUUCAUAUGCCACAAUUGUACAUGCCCUAAGAAAGCGGCGCGGCAAUCAAUUGUCAUUGAAUCAUCGUCGCCUCCAGAUUGCCCUCACGGCUAGACAAAAAGUAGGAAGGGAAUAAUUUCCAAAAUUUCUGUUGAGCUAAUUAUUGUUAAUAGGGGGGUUUUCCUGAAAAUUAUGAUUAUUUUUUAAAAAGAUUCAAUUGAUGGCUGACAUAUAUUGAUUAUAACACGGAGGAGGCAGGAAAUAACCAAUUUGGUGGGUGAUCUGAGAAUCAAGGAUAAAAGAAGAAGAAACGACAAAAAGCAGUGGCUACUACGCUCAAUCCUUCGGAUGCAGCUUCAGUGACUUUAUGAAGCUAAGUCUCAUCGUACCUUAGCCCCCUCUAUCAGCCGUUCAUUGAAAAUCCGACGUACCAAAAUUGACUUAUAUUUUGAACGAAUUUUUUAAAACUGUUCAAAAAAAAUUGAAUUUUUUUUAAAUAAAUCAUAAAUGUUUCGUCUUAUAAUCUGGGAAAGUUUCAACCCAGUUGGAUGUAUGAUUUGUGAUUAAAUUGCCUUUUGAGCGCAAAUAAAUAAAUAAAUGUUUAUUCACAAACGACACAAUGUUUCGUUUUAUAAUCUGGGAAAGUUUCAACCCAGUUGGAUGUAUGAUUUGUGAUUAAAUAGCCUUUUGAGCGCAAAUAAAUAAAAAAUGUUUAUUCACAAACGAUACAUCCAAAUGAAUUGAAAUUUUCAUAGAAUACAAAACGAAACAUUUAUGAUUUAUUGAAAUUUUUUCAAUUUUUUUUAAACAGUUUUGAAAAAUUCGUAUGAAAAUUGGAUUAAUCUGGUAUGUCGGAUUAUCAAUAGACGGCUGAUAGAGGGGGCUAAGUUACCGUGAGACUUAGCUUCACAAAGUUACUGAAGCUGCGUCCCAAUCCCUUAUGGCAGUUUCCCAAAUGGGUCCACCAUGUCCUUGGCCCCUACUUGGCGUCAGAGCUCAAAAUCUCUCUUGACAACUGCGAUGAUAUCGUCGGUUGACGCCGCCUUAUCUCUAAAUGAGCACUCAUUUCUUUCCAUCCACAAUCUCUACAGGAUGAUCAUGGCUAGGGAUCGAACCGUUUUCCUCAAAAGUGGAUGAGCUUUGCUGAUGAUGGUGGCUACAAUCUCAAUUAACUUCGAUUUGUAGUUCCAUGUGCCUUCACUGUCGGCGUUCUAGGAACGGGGAUAUCCAGACUUGUCUGUCUGCGGACCACGGCGUGGCUCCAUCGAUGAUCUGAUACGGCCCAACUUCAGCAGCAAACAAAUCGAGAACCUCGCGGGGGGUCAAGCCUCGCGAGGCGGACGACACCAAGACCUCCACGAGGAGCAGCCUCUCCAGACUGGCUCCUGAGGAGCGGAGAUUCCUAUGCAAGCCUCACCUCGCGAGGUUCGGAUGACGUGAGCCAUGACGACCAAGGCUAGGCGGGCGUCAGCGGGCGCAGUGUACUAGUUUCCUCUUUGGUGCUAAGGAGGCACGCGCAGGCGCGGAGUCCCGAAGAAUCAGCCAAAGGUUUUCAUUCCGGUGCAACAAGACCAAGACCGCCAGGACGGCAGGACGGAGGUCAUCGUCGAGCCCACCACGGCGCCACGAUCAGAGUCUUUUGCAGACGAAGACCACUUUUGUCAGGAUGGCAUGUAAUAGUUGUCUCACUUCGAAUCUGGUCGUUGUGGGAUCCCUUCCCGCCUUCAUUCGAGAAGAGGACCAAGUCCACUAUAAAUAGGACCUAGCCACCACCAUAGAGGGGGAUCGAUUCGACCCUGAUUAGCUCACCAGCUCACUCGAGCCCAAAAACACCCCUCCUCCUGAGAUUGUUCUCCACUGUACUAGUUCAUCCUCAACCCAUUGAGGCCAAUCCACCACAAAGCAGGAGUAGGGUUUUACACUCCAAGGUGGCCUAAACCUGGGUUUUACACUGGGGAGGACGAGUUCUUUGCACACACCCCAGAGUUCGAACCUCUCAAGGGUCUGCGGAACCCGAAAUCCGACAUUUGUCGCGCCAGGUAGGGGUGCAUUGAAGAUCCACCGCUCUGUCCGUUGCGCUCCGCUGUUGGCUCUCAUGACGGACUCUCCCACAUCGACCGGAUCGACACGCGCCAUCGGAGAAGCCGAGGGCCUCCGAGCUUUCACCCCCGCCCUGCGGCGGGUGCAGUGGCCAUCCAAGUUCAGGCCGGAGCUGCCGCCCCGAUACGACGGCGCGGCGGACCCGACAGAUUUUCUCCAGGCGUAUGAGGAAGCUGUGUUGACGGCCGGCGGCGACGACAAAGCCAUGGCCAACUGGCUUCCUAUGGCCCUCGCAGGUGCGCCACACGCCUGGCUGCUCAACCUGCCGGGAUCUUCUGUGGCCUCCUGGGAAGAACUGUGCAGCCUCUUCGCCGCGCGCUUCGCGGCUCCGGCGCCCCACACUGUCGUGGCCCUCCUCGGUGGUUCACGGGCACCGCCCUCAGACCGCCACAUCAAGCAGUUCUUUUGCCAAGUGGGUGCCGCCCACGAGCAACGGGGGGCUCCGCUGGGCUGGGCGGCACCCAAGGUAGACCUCACCUUCGACUCAAGGGACCACCACGGGCGCUGACGCGCUCCUGAUGCUCUGCACACCCCCACCAUCUGCAAUUUGGCGGUCACCAUGACCCACAUUGACGGUGGAGUUGGCAUCAAUGUGCUCUUUGUGCAGGCCUUCGGUUUGCUUCAUGUACCUCAUGACAUGCUCCGCCCCACCAAACCCUUCUCCGGGGUCGUUGACGGCUCCACCAGCCCUUGGGGCAGAUCCGCCUCCCGGUCACCUUCGGCACCCGCGACAACUACCGCACCGAGCUUAUCGACUUCGACAUCGCCUGUAUCGGCCUCCCGUACAACGCCUCCUCGGGUAUCCAGCCUUGGCCUAGUUCAUGGCGACUCACCCUGCCUACAACCUCAUGAAGAUGCCGGGGAGCAGCGGUGUCCUCACUGUGGCAGGAGAUACCAAGGAAGCGUUGAUAGCCCUCAGACUCACCUUCAGGGCCGCGGCGGCUGCGCGACCAAGCGAGGAAGGAGCCCCGGAGGCCCCAAGGGCCACGCCGGUGAAGAAGAAACAGUUGUUCUCCCAAGAUCGCACCGAGACAAAGCAGGUGCUGGUUGACGAAGAUGGGGCAUCAGGUGCCACCUUCACCAUAGGUGCCGGUCUCCCUCCGGGUCAAGAGGAGGCGUUGGUCGACUUUUUGCGCAGGAACAAGGAUGUGUUCGUGUGGGAGCCUAAGGAUCUAGUCGGGAUCCCGAGUGGGAUAAUCGAGCAUCACCUAAGGGUAUGCCCUAACGUGCACCUGAUAAUCCCCAAGUGCAGGGAAUCAUCGUAGCAAUUUCCAAAGGUGGAGGUGAUAAGUAUGGAGUGUCGAACCAAUAAGGAGCUAAAGGUAAGAUCAAUAUUCUCUCAAGCCCUAUCUGCCACUGAUACGACUCUACGUACACCGAACGUUUGCUUCCAACUAACAACGAGAAAUAAAACUACGUUGUGGGUAUGAAGUGGAUAACUUUGCAUGAUAUCAGAGAGCUAAAAUAUGAAAGUAGGUGUUGUUAUCAUAAAGUUAGAAUAUAUUACUAAAUAUUAUAAAUAGCGAGUGUGGAAUAAUGGUGGAUCGGUGUGCGGAAUUGUCCUAGGCAAUUGUUAACAAGACCGAUAGUCGUCAUUGCAAUUUCAUAUGAGGGAGAGGCAUAAGCUAACAUACUUUCUCUACUUGGAUCAUAUGCACUUAUGAUUGGAACUCUACCAAGCAUCCGCAACUACUAAAGAUCAUUAAGGUAAAACCCAACCAUAGCAUUAAAGCAUCAAGUCUUCUUUAUUCUCAUACGCAACAACCCCCUUACUCGGGAUUGUGUUUUAGUCACUCACCAACUCACUAUAAGCGAAUCAUGAACGUAUUGCAACACCCUAGAGCGGGAAUCCCUCACGCUUGCGCGACACGGAGGGCACCAUAGGACAACACCAAAGUAAAACAUACAACUCAUACCAAUCUAGAUCAUCAAUCAACCCAAGGACAAAGGAUAUCUACUCAAAACAUCAUAGUGAUGGCAACACAUCAUUGGAUCAUAAUAUGUGGCAUAAAGCACCAUGUUCAAGUAGGGAUUACAGCAGGGUGCGGGAGAGUGGACUGCGUAAAAGAGAUGAGGAUGGUGAUGAUGAUGGUGAUGUUGAUGAAGAAGAUCGCCGCGGCGAUGAUUCUCCUCUCGAUGGCACUCCGGUGCCACCAAGAGAGAGGAGGAGAGGUUCCCCCCCCUUGUGCUUCCUCCUCCAUGGCCUCCCCCUGGAUGGGGAGAGGUUCUCCCUCUGGUCCUUGGCCUUCAUGACGAUGAUGGCCCCUCCGGGAUCCUCCUCCAUGCCCUCCGGUGAUGAUGGCCCCCUCCGGCAGGGUGCCAGAGAGGGCCUAGAUUGGUUUUCGGUGGCUACGGGGGCUUCUGGCGGCAGAACUCCCGAUCUAGGUUAAUUUUCCGAGGUUUCUAUAUUUAUAAGAAUUUUUGGCGAUGGUCUCACGUCAAGGAGAUGCCCGAGUCAUCCACGAGGCAGGUCCACGCGCUUGGGGGGGGGGCUCCCUUGUGGACGGCCCGGGACUCUUCUGGCCCAACUCUUUUACUCUGGGGUCUUCUUUUGGUCCAUAAAAAAUCAUAAAAAAUUGGCACGUCAAUUGGGCUCCGUUUGGUAUUCCUUUUCUGUAAAACUCAAAAACAAGGAAAAAACAUAAACUGGCAUUGGGCUCUAGGUUAAUAGGUUAGUCCCAAAAAUCAUAUAAAAUAGCAUAUAAAUGCAUAAAAACAUCCAAGGUCGAUAAUAUAAUAGCAUGAAUACUUCAUAAAUUAUAGAUACGUUGGAGACAUAUCAGCACCUAGUGAAGCAAAAGGCACGGCGGUAGUCCACAGAAAAGCAGUCGUUCAUCGUCCAGGAGACUCACAAACUGCAAGAAGCCGGUGUCAUUUGGGAGGUGCGGUACCCGAAAUGGCUGGAGAAUCCGGUUGUCGUUCCCAAGAAGGGCGGGAAGGAGCGCAUGUGCAUCGACUUCACCAGCCUCAACAAGGCUUGCCCCCAAGACCCCUUCCCACUUCUGCGCAUCGAUCAGAUCGUCGACUCCACUGCCGAGUGCGACCUGUUGUGUUUUCUGGAUGCCUUCUCAGACGAUCCCCAAAUCAAGAUGGCGGUGCAAGAUGUUGAGAAGAUGGCUUUCCUAACCCCAUGCGGGGUGUAUUGCUACACCUGCAUGCCAUUCGGGCUGCGUAACGCUGGAGCAACUUUCCAGCGGCUGAUGCACAUCGCUCUCAGCCGGCUGCUCAGGAGGAACGCUGAGGCCUAUGUUGACGAUAUAGUGGUGAAGUCUCGGGAGGCGAGGACUCUCAUUGAAGACCUAGAAGAAACGUUUGCCAGCCUGCGCAAGGUGGAUCUACGGCUCAAUACGGAGAAAUGUGUGUUUGGCGUCCCCUUCGGCAAGCUGCUGGGCUUUCUGAUGUCGCAUAGGGGAAUCGAGGCCAACCCAGAGAAGGUCAAGGCCAUAGAAGGGAUGAGCCCACCACAGACCCUCAAGGAGAUGUAGAAGCUGGUGGGUUGUGUGACCUCGCUAGGGCGCUUCAUCUCCAAGUUGGGGGAGCGCGCCCUCCCAUUCUUCAAGCUGAUGAAAAAGAAGGGACCAUUCGAGUGGACUCCGGAGGCCGACGCGGCAUUCCAAGACCUCAAGAAGUACCUCACCAGCCCGCCGGUGAUGGUAGUGCCACACCCCCUUCGUGCCCCCGGUGCUCAACCUGACCUCCACUCCUCACUCGGCCAGCGCGGCGCUGGUGGCGGUUCAGGAGGAACGCCCGGCCAAGGGCUCUCAAAGCAGCACCCUGCGGCCGGCUGGAACGCACCAGCUUCAGGAUGGCGCUCCUGAGGCCUCGGCUACCCCAACAGAAGACCAAGCCCCUUAGGACGGAACUCCCGAGGCCCCGGCUACCUCAACCAGCGACCAGCCUCUUGAGGCCGUCGGGCCUUAGGAGGUGCAAGGCGUCACCUACACUUUCGCCCUCAUCGAGCACCCGGUGCACUUCGUCAGCACGGUGCUGCGCGAUGCGCGGGCAUGCUACCCCAUGCUGCAAAAGCUCUUUCUCGUGCUUCUCGUCACCUCCAGCAAGUUGCGCCACUACUUUCAAGGCCACCCCAUCAAGGUCAUCUCAGCUUACCCACUGGAGAGGGUGCUCAGGAGCCCCAAUGCGGCAAGGAGGGUUGCAGAAUGGAACAUCGAAUUGCAAGCAUUCCAGUUGGAGUUCAGCACCACCAGAGUCAUCACGGGAGCCGCACUCGCCGACUUCAUGGCGGAAUGGACGGACGCUCCCAUUCCCGAAGCAGGUGAGGACUGAUCCCUCUCACCAGGAAGCGAGGCACCAGACGGCUGGGUCAUGUACUUCGACGGCGCCUUCGCGCAUUAGGGUGCGGGGCUAGCACCGUGCUCAUCUCGCCCACCCAGGACAAUCUCUACUAUGCCGUGCAGCUCUGCUUCCAUCAGGGCGAGAAGGUCUCCAACAACAUCGCGGAGUACGAAGGCCUGAUCGCCGGUCUCAAGGCUGCGGCAGCCUUGGGAGUGAAGCGCCUCACGAUCAAGGGCGACUCCCAGCUCCUCGUCAACUUCUCCAACAAAGUAUACGAGCCAAAGGACGAGCACAUGGAGGCAUACCUUGCGGAGGUAUACAAAAUUGAGAAACAAUUCUUGGGCCUGGAACUGCAGCAUGUGCCGCGCGACACGAACAAGGAGGCUGACGACAUCGCCAAGAGGGCGUCCCGACGCUUUCCCCAAGAGCCUGGCGUCUUUGAGGAGCGGAUCUUCAAGCCUUCAGCAACCCCUCCUGCUGCGGAACCAACAUCGCCUCAAGAGGAGCUCCCACCAGCACCCCCCCUCGGGAGCCCCCGCUUGUGGCCCAACCUCGGGAGCACGUCUACUUCUCGCGCUCGAGCCUUAGGAGGGGUGCUAGACCGAAGAGUUUAAGGCGUACGUACUGCAGGGGACCCUGCCAGAGAAGGAGGAAGACGCUGAGCGUGUGGCUCGAUAGGCCACUGCCUACUACAUCUAGGACAGUGAGCUCUAUAUGAAACGGCCAAAUGAUGUUUCUCUACGAUGCAUCUUGAUACGUCUCCAUCGUAUCUACUUUUCCAAACACUUUUGCCCUUAUUUUGGACUCUAACUUGCAUGAUUUGAAUGGAACUAACCCGGACUGAUGCUGUUUUCAGCAGAAUUGCCAUGGUGUUAUUUUUGUGCAGAAAUAAAAGUUCUCGAAAUGACCUGAAAAUCAACGGAGAAUUAUUUUGGAAUAUAUAAAAAAUACUGGAAGAAAGAUCCAUGUCAGGGGGCCCACACCCUGUCCACGAGGGUGGGGGCGCGCCCUACCCCCUAGGCGCGCCACCUGCCUUGUGGGCCCCCUGACGCUCCACCGACCUCAUCCUUGACUCUAUAUAUUCACUUUCAGGGAGAAAAAAAUCAGGGAGAAGGAUUCAUCGCAUUUUACGAUAUGGAGCCGCCGUCAAGCCCUAAACUCUCUCAGGAGGGCUGAUCUAGAGUCUGUUCGGGGCUCCGGAGAGGGGAAUCCGUUGCCAUCGUCAUCAUCAACCUUCCUCCAUCACCAAUUUCAUGAUGCUCACCGUCGUGCAUGAGUAAUUCCAUCAUAGGCUUGCUAGACGGUGAUGGGUUGGAUGAGAUUUAUCAUGUAAUUGAGUUAAUUUUGUUAGGGUUUGAUCCGUAGUAUCCACUAUGUUCUGAGAUUGAUGUUGCUAUGACUUUGCUAUGCUUAAUGCUUGUCACUAGGGCCCGAGUGCCAUGAUUUCAGAUCUGUACCUAUUAUGUUUUCACUAAUAUAUGAGAGUUCUUGAUCCGAUCUUGCAAGUCUAUAGUCACCUAUUAUGUGUUAUGAUCCGUUAACCCCGAAGUGACAAUAAUCGGGAUACUUACCGGUGAUUACCGUAGUUUGAGGAGUUCAUGUAUUCACUAUGUGUUAAUGCUUUGGUCCGGUACUCUAUUAAAAGGAGGCCUUAAUAUCCCUUAGUUUCCAAUAGGACCCCGCUGCCACGGGAGGGUAGGACAAAAGAUGUCAUGCAAGUUCUUUUCCAUAAGCACGUAUGACUAUAUUCGGAAUACAUGCCUACAUUACAUUGAUGCAUUGGAGUUAGUUCUGUGUCACCCUAGGUUAUGGCUGUUACAUGAUCGAUCACAUCUGGCAUAAUUCUCCAUCACCAAUCCAAUGCCUACUAGCUUUUCCAAAUAUUGUUCUCCGCUUAUUUACUUUUCCGCUGCUACUGUUACAAUCACUACAAAACCCAAAAAUAUUACUUUUGCUACCGUUACCUUUUGCCAUCGUUACCACUAUUAUCAUAUUACUUUGCUACUAAACACUUUGCUGCAGAUAUUAAGUUUCCAGGUGUGGUUAAAUUGACAACUCAGCUGCUAAUACUUGAGAAUAUUCUUUGGAUCCCCUUGUGUCGAAUCAAUAAAUUUGGGUUGAAUACUCUACCCUCGAAAACUGUUGCGAUCCCCUAUACUUAUGGGUUAUCAAGAAUAUUUUCUGGCACCGUUGCCGGGGAGCAUAGCUCUAUUCUUUGAGUCACUUGGGAUUUAUAUCUGCUUAUCAUUAUGAAGAACUUGAAAGAUCAAAGAACCAAGAUUUUUCCCUCAACUACGAGGGGAGGUAAGGAACUGCCAUCUAGCUCUGCACUUGAUUCACCUUCUAUUUUGAGUAAUAUUGCGACACCUAAACCUGCUUCUGCUAUUAAUUCUGAUAUGUCGCAUGUUAUUGAUGAUGCCACUUCUACUAUGCAUGAUACUUAUGAUGAAACUACUUCUAUGCUUGAUACUACUGUGCCACUUGGUGAAUUUCUCGAUGAACAACUUGCUAGGGCUAGAGAGAAUGAAAUUAUUGAAAUUGAUAAUAUUGAUGAAAGUGAUGGUGAAGAUUCCCCCCCUAGAUAUGAAUUGCCUGUUGUUCCUGAGGGUUAUGUUAUGAAUGAAGAAACUGCUAGAGACUUUCUUGCCUGCAAUGAUAGAAGUGAUCUUAAGAAACUAUUAGCUAAGCUUAAAGAAAAAACUCUGAAUGCUAGAAUGAAAUAUGAUCCUGCUUAUGCUACUUCACCUAUCUUUAUUACUGAUAAGGAUUAUGAUUUCUCUGUUGAUCCUGAGUUAAUUACUUUGUUUGAAUAUGAUCUUUUCUAUGGCUAUGAAUCUGAAACUGUUGUGGCACAUCUUACUAAAUUAAAUGAUAUAGCUACCCUGUUCACUAAUGAUGAGAAAACUCGCUACUAUUAUAUCCUUAAAUUAUUUCUGUUCUCAUUAAAGGAUGAUGCUAAGAUAUGGUUUAAUUCUCUUGAUCAUGGUUGUGUGCGUAGUCCCUAGGAUAUGAUUUACUACUUCUCUGCUAAAUAUUUCCCCGCUCAUAAGAAACAAGCUGCUUUAAGGGAAAUAUAUAAUUUUAUGCAAAUUGAAGAAGAGAGUCUCCCACAAGCUUGGGGGAGGCUUCUCCGAUUACUUAAUGCUUUGCCUGAUCAUCCUCUCAAGAAAAAUGAAAUACUUGAUAUCUUUUAUAAUGGACUAACCGAUGCUUCCAGAGAUUACCUGGAUAGUUGUGCUGGUUGUGUUUUCAGGGAAAGAAUAGUUGAUCAAGCUAAAAUUCUAUUAAAAUAUGUUGACUAAUGAAAAUAAUUGGACACUUCCUGAACCAACUCCUAAGCCAACACCGAAGAAUAGGGGUAUUCUAUUUCUCAGUCCUGAAGAUAUGCAAGAGGCAAAGCAAUCUAUGAAAGAAAAAGGUAUAAAAGCUGAAGAUGUUAAGAAUUUACCACCUAUUGAAGAAAUACAUGGUCUUAAUUCAUCACCUAUUGAAGAAACACAUGGUCUCGAUAACCCGACACAGGUAGUAAAGGUAAACUCUCUCUACAGAUAUGAUAAAGCUGAAAUCCCUCCUGCUAAGUCUGCUAGCCAAUGUUUGGAUGAAUUUGAUAACUUUAUGGUUAAGCAAGAAGAUUUUAAUGCUUAUUUUGGUUGACAACUGAAACGCAAUGCUUAUAUGAUUGAACACUUGAGUGAUUAUAUGGCUAGUGUUAAAGGUGAACUUAAACUUAUUAGUAAACAUGCUUCUAUGGUUACCACUCAAGUAGAACAAGUACUUAAAGCUCAGAAUGAUUUGCUCAAUGAAUUAAAUAGUAAGAAGAAUGAUAAUGCUGUUAGAGUUAUGACUAGAGGUGGUAAAAUGACUCAGGAGCCUUUGUAUCCUGAGGGCCACCCUAAGAGAAUUGAGCAAGAUUCUCAGAGAACUACUAUAGAUGCACCUAGUCCUUCUAAAAGGAAGAAAAAGAAAAAUGACAGGACUUUGCAUGCUUCUAGUGAACCUGUUAUUGACACACCUGAGAAUCCUAAUGAUAUUUCUAUCUCCGAUGCUGAAACACAAUCUAGUAAUGAACAUGAACCUAGUGAUAAUGUUAAUGAUGAUGUUCAUGUUGAUGGUCAACCUAGCAAUAAUAAUGAUGUAGAAAUUGAACCUGCUGUUGAUCUUGAUAACCCACAAUCAAAAAAUCAACGUUAUGAUAAGAGAGACUUUGUUGCUAGGAAGCACGGUAAAGAAAGAGAACCAUGGGUUCAGAAACCCAUGCCUUUUCCUCCUAAACCAUCCAAGAAAAAGGAUGAUGAGGAUUUUGAGCGCUUUGCUGAAAUGAUUAGACCUAUCUUUUUGCGUAUGCGUUUGACUGAUAUGCUUAAAAUGAAUCCUUAUGCUAAAUAUAUGAAAUAUAUAGUUACUAAUAAAAUAAAGAUACCUAAAGCUGAGAUUUCCACCAUGCUUGCUAAUUAUACUUUUAAGGGUGGAAUACCAAAGAAACUUGGAGAUCCAGGAGUACCAACUAUACCAUGCUCCAUUAAAAUAAACUAUGUUAAAACUGCUUUAUGUGAUCUUGGAGCCGGUGUUAGUGUUAUGCCUCUCUCUUUAUAUCAUAGACUUGAUUUGAAUAAGUUGACACCUACUAAAAUAUUUUUGCAAAUGGCUGAUAAAUCAACUGCUAUACCUGUCGGUAUUUGUGAGGAUGUGCCUGUUGUGGUUGCAAACAUUACCAUUUUAACGAACUUUGUUAUUCUUGAUAUUCCCGAGGAUGAUAGUAUGUCUAUUAUUCUUGGAAGACCUUUUUUGAAUACUGCAGGGGCUGUUAUUGAUUGCACCAAAGGCAAUGUCACUUUUCAUGUUAAUGGUAAUGAGCAUACGGUACACUUUCUGAGGAAACAACCUCAAGUCCACAGUAUCAAUUCUAUUGGAAAAAUUCCAACAAUCACUAUUGGAGGUUUUGAAUUUCCUCUUCCUAUUGUCAAGAAGAAAUAUGAUAUUCUUAUUGUUGGGGACAUGCAUAUCCCCGUUGAGGUAACCUAGUGUUAUUCGAAAAUUCUCCGGUUUCAUGUUAUUCGAAAUGAGUUUGUUAACAAGACCUGAUCAAUCUUGUCAGUAGAUUCCUUUUGAUGAGCAUGAGAUGGAUGGAUUUAGAAAACACAACUCUCUAUACCCUCUUUUUACUUUCUGUUAUUUAUAUUAAAUAAAGCAAAAAUAGUAUUUUUCCGUCUGUUUUCUGAAUUAUCAAUGCAAUAAAAAUACCCCGAAAAUAAAAGUUCUCCAAAUGCCCUGAAAAUUAAAUAUGAUUUUUUCUAGAAUAUUUGAGAAUAUCUGGCAAUGAGAACACAGCAGGGGGAGCAAGCACCUGGCCACGAGGGUCCAGGGCGCGCCCCCUGCCUCGUGGGCCCAUGGUGGCUCCCCUCCACUUAUUCCAGCUACCACACACUCCUUCUUCCUCCAAAAAAAUAACUAGCCGGCUCAAACCCGAGUCCAAGCUCAUCUUGCUGCCAUUUUCGAUCUCCUUGCUCAAAGCUCCAUCACAAAACUGCUUUGGGGGAUUGUUCCUUGGUAUGUGACUCCUCCAAUGGUCCAAUUAGUUUUUGUUCUAGUGCUUUAUUCAUUGCAAAUUUUUGCUGCUUAGGUGACCCUGUUCUUGAGCUUGCAUGUCAAAUUUAUAUGGUCAAAAGUAGUUUUAAUGCACGAUAUUGUCUCUAGGCACUUGUAGCAGUAGUUGCUAUCAAUAUUGUUGAGUUUGGUUCACUUUUAUUUUUGAAGUUACUAAAAAUUUCAGAAAAUUUUAGAAAAAGAUGAAGAGAUUUUUGAGGGGCUCAUCGAGCCGAAGCUCGAAGGAUAAACAGAGUGAAGAGAACAAGAAGCCCAAGUAUAAUCUCCCUCGCACCGCAGAGGUUCGGCCGUGUGAAUGGCCUUGUGAUGAUUUCUUGAGAGCGGGCGGGAUUUGUGAUGAUUUCUAUGAGUUGACUGAGAAUGCAGGCCUCACCGCCUUCCUCCACGACCAACGCGAACAGUAUAUCUUACUCACCAAUAUCUUUGUGCAAAACUUUCAUUUCCAUGCUAGGAGCUCACCACCUAUGGUGGGAUUUUAUUUAUAUGAUGAGCAUAAGGAGAUGUCACUUCAUGAUUUCUGUCGGGUUUGUUUGAUCCCUUUUGAGGGCAGUGUAGAGGAACCACAUCGUGAUGAUGUGGAAGGGUUUAUUGAUACAAUUGUUGUAGGGGAAACGAGGGAAGUUUCCGAUGCAAGAAUUACUAGCAUACAUUUUCCUGUUUUACAUUACUUCGCAAUAUUUGCUAGUAGAUGCUUAAUUGGUCGUGGAAACUGUGGCAACCUUAGUGCCACUGAUAUUGUUAUUUUUUGCCAUGCCUUGUUCCGUGAUGACACAUUUAGUAUGGGCGCUAUUGUUGCAAAGUGGUUAAAUCUUAACCGCACUAAGGGCCCCAUCCUUGGAGGCAUCUUCGCCUCGCGCCUCGCUGCAUGCUUUAACAUACCUAUUAGGCAUUAUGAGAAGGAAGAGAAGUUGCUGCCUCCUGUUUUUCUAGACUAUAAGAGUAUGGUAGUGCAUGAUUUUAUCAUUAAGAAUAAGGAAAAGAUGCUUAAGUACAAGCUAAUAUUUGAUAAAAAUCACCAUGAGACUAUUACUUUGCCUCCUCCUUCCUUGUUGGACUUAUCUGCAGGCAAGUAGCUUGUUCCGCCGGAGGCCAUUCACGCCUACCGAAACCCCACACCAGCUAUAGAGCCAGAGAUGGAACCACAAUUUGAUCCUCACCGACAGUCUAUUUAUCAGUGGAAUCCGGAAGAGAUCGCCAACCAGUGGCACCAAGAGGAUUCUUCUCAAUACGACCGCAACUAUUACUUUGGAUAUCCGCCAGGCCAGCCGUGGCCAUAGACCAACUUAGGCCAAAAGCCUAAGCUUGGGGGAGUACGUAUCUCUCACCGACAUUACAUUCCUGUUCACACACUCAUGCUAGUUGUCGGUGCUCAUACUUUUUCAUUGUAAUAUCCAUGCUAGUUUAUCUCCUUUUUAUGCUUUCUACUUGUGUGUUUGAUAAACCUUAAGAAAAACAAAAAAAAAA
rnacentral:lncRNA from 1 species